ACCGUCCUGAACAGCUUCAGAAAUGGAAGCUGGGAGACGGAGGAAACUGCACCUGAUAAACCCUUCACCAGG